rnacentral:rRNA from 1 species
GAUGAACGCUGGCGGCGUGCCUAAUACAUGCAAGUCGAGCGAACGGACGAGACGCUUGCUUCUCUGAUGUUAGCGGCGGACGGGUGAGUAACACGUGGAUAACCUACCUAUAAGACUGGGAUAAAUUCGGGAAACCGGAGCUAAUACCGGCUAAUAUUUUCAACCGCAUGGUUCAAAAGUGAAAGACGUUCUUGCUGUCACUUAUCGAUGGAUCCGCGCUGCAUUAGCUAGUUGGUAAGGUAACGGCUUACCAAGGCAACGAUGCAUAGCCGACCUGAGAGGGUGAUCAGUCACACUGGAACUGAGACACGGUCCAGACUCCUACGGGAGGCAGCAGUAGGGAAUCUUCCGCAAUGGGCGAAAGCCUGACGGAGCAACGCCGCGUGAGUGAUGAAGGUCUUCGGAUCGUAAAACUCUGUUAUUAGGGAAGAACAUAUUUGUAAGUAACUGUGCACAUCUUGACGUUACCUAAUCAGAAAGCCACGGCUAACUACGUG